rnacentral:lncRNA from 1 species
ACAAAGAGGUUUGCAAAGUCCAGCUGAAGGGAGCCGGAGCGUCCUGUUUUUACCAUCACGCUUCGUUGUUCACGUUGCUUGUGUGUAAAACAGGGUACAGUAUUUAGAAACGGUGAAGGAAAUGACUGGCCUAAAACUCUUGUGAUUCAGUGACUCAAGGAUGAUUGACACUGUGUAAAAACAGGCACAUUAGACCAAGAGAUAAUUUGAAACCUUAUUAUUGGGUAUUGUUUUUAAAAAUUAAACCUAUAGACAUGAAUAAAAUGAAAAACUUUAUAAGCACAGCUUGUGGAACUGAAAAGGGCCUUAGAGACCAUCACUUCCAACGGCCUCAUUUUACAGGAGAGAAAUCUGAGGACCAGGGAAACCAAGUGACUUUUCUGGGGUCACAUGGAAUGUCAACAGCAGAGCUGUGAAGGCGUUCAGGUCUGCUAACCUCCCGGCUAUGCUCAUUCAUGGAGAGUGCUUCGAAGAGUGUUUGCAACAUUUAGUCACAGUUUAUCUUUGGUUAAUUCCACAUUUACUCCUAUUUUUAAUGUGUGUGAAAAUGGCCCAGAUUCAUAUGAUUUGUUGCAGGUCAAACAGAUAUUAAGAAAAACUGCCAAGCUUGCACCGCUUAUGUAUAGUUAUUUGUUGUGUAUGUGCAAGUGUUUGUAUGUGUGUGAGCACAUAAGCAUAAUCUCUUUAUCUACCAUUCCUACAUCCAAAAAGCUCUGAAAAUUAAACUUUUUCAUAAAUUUGUGACAAAUUCCAGUGGUGCAAAAUCAAAUCUAGUGUGAACUUAUGUGAAGAUAUUUAUAGACUUCACCUACACCAGCCAGUGUAACCCCUUAUAGAUUUCAUUUUAGAAAUAGUAAUCUGUCUGAUUAUAGGGUACUACCCUAGAUUAUCUGAAUAUGAUAUGUAACAUAUGAUACUUAACAUAGGUUCUAUAUAAUUGAUUACAUUUUAAAAUCCUGAAUAAUUCUGAAUUCUGUUCCCAGUAGUUUUGGAUAAGUAAUCGUAGACCUUCAAUUAGUCCAUAAUGUAAUUUCAUUACAUUAGUUUAGGCAGUUUUGGCUUAUAACCAUGCAACUCAGAAAAUUCUUUACAUAUGUGAUUCCCUUGGUUUCAAAAUAUGU